AGUGAACGCUGGCGGUAGGCCUAACACAUGCGAGUCGAACGGCAGCACAGUAAGAGCUUGCUCUUACGGGUGGCGAGUGGCGGACGGGUGAGGAAUACAUCGGAAUCUACUUUUUCGUGGGGGAUAACGUAGGGAAACUUACGCUAAUACCGCAUACGACCUACGGGUGAAAGCAGGGGAUCUUCGGACCUUGCGCGAUUGAAUGAGCCGAUGUCAGAUUAGCUAGUUGACGGGGUAAAGGCCCACCAAGGCGACGAUCCGUAGCUGGUCUGAGAGGAUGAUCAGCCACACUGGAACUGAGACACGGUCCAGACUCCUACGGGAGGCAGCAGUGGGGAAUAUUGGACAAUGGGCGCAAGCCUGAUCCAGCCAUACCGCGUGGGUGAAGAAGGCCUUCGGGUUGUAAAGCCCUUUUGUUGGGAAAGAAAAGCAGCAGGUUAAUACCCCGCUGUUCUGACGGUACCCAAAGAAUAAGCACCGGCUAACUUCGUG
rnacentral:rRNA from 1 species